rnacentral:rRNA from 1 species
AACGAACGCUGGCGGCGUGCUUAACACAUGCAAGUCGAACGUGAUUGGAGAGCUUGCUCUCCAUGAAAGUGGCGAACGGGUGAGUAACGCGUGAACAACCUGACUCUCAGAGGGGGAUAACACUCGGAAACGGGUGCUAAUACCGCAUAAGACCACGACCCGGCAUCGGGAUGAGGUCAAAGGAGCAAUCCGCUGAGAGAGGGGUUCGCGUCCCAUUAGAUAGAUGGCGGGGUAACGGCCCACCAUGUCGACGAUGGGUAGCCGAGCUGAGAGGCUGAUCGGCCACACUGGAACUGAGACACGGUCCAGACUCCUACGGGAGGCAGCAGUGGGGAAUAUUGGGCAAUGGGCGCAAGCCUGACCCAGCAACGCCGCGUGAGGGAAGAAGGCUUUCGGGUUGUAAACCUCUGUCCUUGGUGACGAAACAAAUGACGGUAGCCAAGGAGGAAGCCCCGGCUAACUACGUGCCAGCAGCCGCCGUAA